rnacentral:rRNA from 1 species
UCAAGUCAUCAUGCCCCUUAUGUCCAGGGCUUCACACAUGCUACAAUGGCCGGUACAAAGGGCUGCGAAGCCGUGAGGUGGAGCGAAUCCCUGCAAAGCCGGUCUCAGUUCGGAUCGGGGUCUGCAACUCGACCCCGUGAAGUCGGAGUCGCUAGUAAUCGCAGAUCAGCAACGCUGCGGUGAAUACGUUCCCGGGCCUU